rnacentral:sRNA from 1 species
UGCGUGCACUUAUCGGGAAGGGUGAGAACCUUCGAUUAAGGUUCGACUCGAGCGAAAGCGAGAGAACGUUGCCAGAGGCAACGGCCCGAAGGGUGAGGAACGAAGUGACGAAUAAUCCUUCCCCAACCACCA